GGAAGGAUCUCUUUUGGAGAUCCACUCUGAUGGAGUUUUGUAAGUGAGUCUAGGAUGUGGAUGAUCAGCUACUGUUCCCUACUCUAUAAAUGAAGGCUUGAAGUUCAGCACCUUUGAAAACCAGGUGUAUGAUGUGGCAUUGUUUAGCUUGAAUUCCUGUUAUGUGACUCCAAAGUUGCCAGAUAGCUGUAUUGGAGUUUGUCAAGUGCUUUGAAAUUCUGAAUGCAUAUGCUACAGUCAAGCAGUUUUAUCUUCAUUUACAUGUACUCUUUGGAUUUCUAAUACUUAUAUUACUGCCUGUUUGUUACAUCUGAUGGCUACAAGCUGAUGUCCCCACUGCCAGUAAGAAUACUAUCUAGGUUAUAAGCUUACUCCUAGCAAACUCUAUUGUUUGUAGCUGAUGUACUUAAUGCAAAAUAUUUUUUUAGCCCUAAUAUAUCUUUCUAUCAGGAGUUGAUGUAGGAGAUGAUUUAGCAUGAUUUGAGCAGUGCAUACUGGACAGUUUGAAUUUUUCACUCUUGAUUUACUCUGGCCAAACUCUUCAGAAAAAGUCUUUAACUGUUCCUUGGAGAGAGAGAGCUUUUGCUUGAGGUACAGUAAGCUUGACAACACAGAAUCAUUACAGAUUGUCCUGAGGUUUGUAUUUGUCCACUCUUGCACUUGAGAUCCACAAUUUGGGUCAGAGGCAUUUUUGUUUGUAUAUUUACUUUCACCUUGCUGUAGAAUAAAUAGAGUAUUUGAAUUUGAUUAUUUUCAGUAAAAUGUAAGCUGGAAUAUUAACCUUUCUUAUUUGUUUGUCAAAAAAGAGAAAUCAAAGUACAUGCAUUUAGAGAGAAACCACCAGCAGAAGAAUCAAAUUAAUAGGGCUAUCCCAGUGGUCCCCGUAUCAGUGAUACUAGAACUCUGCUAUCUCUAGAACAGGGGAUUCCUAACAAGUAAAGUGAGUUCACCCUCUACGUUGGUGUGUGAAGCUAAUAUUUUCCACCAUUCAUGAUGUCAACAAGAUUUCAAAGGUGCUCUAGCUAAGUAUCUAGCAUUUCAGACAUUCAUCCAUCGUCUCUAGUAUAUAACCUAAAGUCCUCCAUGUACAAAAUGUGAUAGAAAUGUAACACAUCUGCUUUCAAUAAUCUGGCAAAAAAUGCAUAACUCUCAUUUAGGAUUUCCACUUUCAGUGCUGAAUUUGUUAAUGAGCAAGAAUGAAAAUUAAGGGCAUGUUUUGGUUUCUUUUUCAACUAGGUUUAAGUACCAUUCAUCUAUGAAAGUACCAUUCAACUGUAAUUGUUUCCUUGCAGUGAAAGCUUGAUCUGAAUUAGUCAACUGUUAUAAGAAGUUUCACUUUUGUAGUAACUGCAAUAUUCAUUUCUAAAACAGAAACCAAUUGCUUAUUGCUUGACUUUGUAACCAAUAAUGUGUUUUCUAUCAGCACAGUGUCACUGAUAAAUCUAGGUUUGCCUGCUUCCUAAAAGUAGCAUUUAAAACAAUGAAAUAUUCUACUGUUUCUGUUUUCCCAGUGUAUUAUUUGUACUUCAUUAAACAGCUGGUAAUAUUAAGUAAUAA